UUCGCAAAUGUAAGAUCAGUCAUAUGUGGUUCACGCCACUAUAAUGACAGUCUGUGGAAGGCUCAUUAUAACAGUUAUACACCUAGCCACUGGAAAGUUUACAAGGAUACCACCGUUAACUGCAGCGAUAAUACUUGUUCCCUUCGGGGUGGUAGUAGUAUUUGUGCUGAAACCUAGCUAUUGUAACUCAGUUUCUCUGGGUAUAGCAAUAUAUUCAGGGGAGCUGGGCAUCGACCGCUAGCAGGUGCCCGCAAGGGCGCGGGAAAGUGAGCUAACAAGGUUUUCAUAAGGCCUUUCAGGUUUGCUUUUUCUAGUGGCCAGGCAGAGGUGUUUCUUACCUAUCAGCUCGUUGCUUGUUUAAAGGACAAACAAGGCUUUGACGGGUACGGGGAAUCAGUGUUCGAUUCCGGAGAGGGAGCCUGAGAGAUCGCUACCACAUCUAAGGACGGCAGCAGGCGCGCAAAUUACCCAAUCCCAACACGGGGAGGUAGUGACAAGAUAUAGUGUCUCAUCACCUUCGGUGGUGAGGUAUUAUCAUUUGAUAAUUUUCCAUGAUUUGGGUGUAGAUAACCCUUAGAGCAGCCAUUGGAGGAAAAGUCUGGUGCCAGCACCCGCGGUAAUUCCAGCUCCAAGAGCGUAUAUUAAUACUGCUGUAGUUAAAACGCCCGUAGUAAACCUAAGAGUGUUUACGGGGUAACUAGUUCCAUCAGGAGAUGGUUGGAGGGAGUUUAUAACUCCCUCUUGCCUACUCCUUGGUGAACUUUAGCUGGACAGGACUUCUGGUCCUCGUCUGGCAGUUGCCUCGUAUUCACUCGUCCACGGUUCAUCCGUGAGGCCCCUUUGGGUUGCAACUGUAAAUAAAUCGUUGUGCUUAAAGCGGGCUAUGAUACUCUGCCAGAGCGAUUUAGCAUGGGACUGCAGAGUAGCUGUAUUUGAGCGAAGGUUGGACUUCGGUCUGACUGUAGCUUGGUACAGCGCUUGUAAUGGAGCUCAGGGUGAGGCCCCGGGUACCAUGAGGCUAGAGGUGAAAUUCUGAGACCCUCAUGUGACCA
rnacentral:rRNA from 1 species